GUAUGACACAGGUAACUGUGGCUAUAUUAGCUGUGAUUAUGGUACUUCUUGUUGUAUGACCCAGGUCUGUAUGGUAAUAUUUGUUUUUAUAAUGGUAGGUCCUGUAGUAUGACACUGGUCUGUAUGGCAAUAUUUGUUUUGAUAAUGGUAGGUCCUGUAGUAUGACACUGGUCUGUAUGGCAAUAUUUGUUUUGAUAAUGGUAGGUCCUGUAGUAUGACACUGGUCUGUAUGGCAAUAUUUGUUUUGAUAAUGGUAGGUCCUGUAGUAUGACACUGGUCUGUAUGGCAAUAUUUGUCUUGAUAAUGGUAGGUCCUGUAGUAUGACACUGGUCUGUAUGGCAAUAUUUGUUUUGAUACUGGUAGGUCCUGUUGUAUGAUAAAGGUCUGUAUGGUAAUAUUUGCUUUGAUAAU